CUUUUAACUUCACUUUAAGAUAUGAAGAAACCAGGAAUGAACGCAUGGGCUUCUGCAGAAGGAGAGGCAUGGUAGGGCUGCCAUGGAUAUAACCACAGGCUUUCUCUCCAUUUAUAUGUCUCCUCUCAACCCUUCCUUCCUCCUCCAUUCUUUCUAACUUCUCUCUCUCUCUUUGCUGGAGAUAAAGGCUCAUGGGUCUGUGUUAUCCCCACUGCUACCUCCUUAUCUUUAUUUCUACACAGGUGACAACUGCCCACGGAUUGUCUGUCCAGGCACUACCCCCAGCCCCCACCCCUGCCUUCUUCUCUAUCAAGUCUCUCCUUUACACCAAGAAUCAUGGACUUAUAACAGAUCAAAUGUGGAUGAGAUGUUAGUUUUAUACAAAAAGGCAUAAGCACCAGCCUUUGAAGCGAAAGUGUGGUGUAGGUUUUUGCUCUGUCACUUCAUGAAACUUCUCUAAGUCUCACUUUCCUCACCUGGAAAAUGGGGAUGAUGUUACCUACUGUGCUGAGUUUUGGUGAAGAUGACAUUGAAGGAAGUAAUGUGUGUGCUGUAUACACUUUAGAGACUUUAAAAUGUAUUGUGAUAGUAUUGCAGAGGGAAGAAGAAAAGUAUGGCAAGUCUCUGUCCCACAGAGAUAGGAAGGGGAAGCUUGUCGUGCUUUACCUUCAUGGAGAGUGGAGAGAAGGAAGGAAGGAGGGUGGGAGGGGAAACAGGCAGUCAGACCCAGGUGCUCUAGUUUCCGUGGAAGGUAUAUCAAGGCAGCUGAUGGAAUAGCCAAAAGCAGAGGGGUUUCUGGCCACCACCCAUGUGGGAGUCUUGGGGAAGAUAACACACAGGGUGGUUCUGCAGGGAUCGAAGGAUGUAGCUGCAAAGCUGGGCUUUAUAUGGCACUCCUGGCUCCUCGUGGCUCUGUGAAGUAUGCUAGGUGUCCCACAGGUGAGGAGACAUGAAGGCAUUGAGGGUCUAAAUUAACAGAUAUCUGGGUGAGGACUAAAAGGCUAUAGUAGGCAAGAUUGAAUGAACAAGGCCCCAAACCAAGGCCACAGAUAUCAGCUCUCAGUGUGAGUCUUCCUAAAGAUACCUUAAUUUUCACCAGCCAAAUGACCAUCCCAGCCCCUCAGAAUGGAGGCGGGCAAGGCUCUAAGGCUCCCUUUUCUCCCACCACUCCCUCCUUGACCACCUAGACACCACCUUGAAGGGGAGCUGGAAGUGAAAGGGAAAGGACCUAAGAAUGACUGUGCAUUCACCUGGGUGAUGCUGAGCUUUCUAAGAGAUGGUGUAAAACAAAGAAAUACUAUGAGCUCUCAAGGUUAAAAUUCAUUUAGUUCAAAUGAGUAUGGUAUGAGUAAAUUUCUCACCCUGCUACAGGGAUAAAAAGAGACAAUCUAAAGUGAAAAAUAUAACAGAUGGAAACAUAUCCAUGGUGAGAAUGUACCAUCCAUGAACUCUUAGGAAUCAAGACCGAGUAACAUAGUACUAAACUGUACACAACAAAAACUACCAGGAAUUUAAGGAGAAGCUGACAAAAAUCACCUUACCAGUAGAGACUUUAACCAAGAUUUUCUAGUUAUUGGCAGAUGAGAUCAACAACAAUGAAGGACAAAUGUAAAAUAUGUUGAUUUGAGGUUGAUUUACUCUUGGCCUGUUGGAUAACUCUGCCCCACUUACCAUCUCCCUACUCCUCCCCGAGCAUGGACCCAAAGCACCCGGCCCCAGGAGGAAGGCAUGGGGCAAUGACUGAGUGGGUUUGGAAACAAUGAUGGGACCACGAUGUUACAGGCAUAAUCUUGCGUUCUGGCUGUGUCUUGUCUCUUGGGAGUUGUUCUCUUGCAAACAGAACCCUGUGUCCUGAGGCCUGAGCUUCUUUGUGUGUUGAAGAACAGCACAUGCUUGUGCUGGUGCUUUUGCUGUGUUCUCUGGCUGUCUCAGGGGCUAGCAGCAUGUGGGCUGGCCUUUUCUACCGCACAGGGCUGUGACAGCAUUGCACUUUAGAUUCUAAACUGCUCUCGGAGCAUGGACUUGGAAGCCGGACAGUCCCCUGUUCGAAUCUCAGCAACUCUACUUACCUGCUCAGUGUGUCAUUCUUUCGCGCUGCACACACCUUCCUCCACGUGGUGAAGAUACAUCGCUCCUGACAGCCUCAUGCCUGACUGGACACUGAAAAAGAGGUGAAGAGAUGAGGCGAUAGAACAAAAGAACAGAAAGAUAAUGAAGCUGAGACUAACAUAAUUAUGUAUGCAGCCACAAAUGGAGCACAAAGCAAUUACUGCUUGUGGGAAUUUGAGAGAUGCUCUUUGAAGAGGUGUGAGGGAAUCAGUAAUACUUGCAGUGACUUUUAAGGAGGUGGAGUGUGCUGAUGAAGAUGCCACAAAGAACUGAUGGGAAGUUAUUCCUCUCCCCAACUGCUAUUGUAUCCUUCCUGUAGUGCUGUCUCUGCUUUUUGCAUCUUGCCCAGUAUAUUAUGACACAAAUAAAAAUUCUCUUUUCAUCAUCUUGCA
rnacentral:lncRNA from 1 species